rnacentral:rRNA from 1 species
AUUGAACGCUGGCGGUAGGCCUAACACAUGCAAGUCGAACGCGAAAGUCCUUCGGGAUGAGUAGAGUGGCGGACGGGUGAGUAACGCGUAGGAAUCUAUCCUGUAGUGGGGGAGUAACGUUUCGAAAGGAACGCUAAUACCGCAUACGCCCCAACGGGGGAAAGCGGGGGAGUCUUCGGACCUCGUGCUAUAGGAGGAGCCUGCGUCGGAUUAGCUAGUUGGUGAGGUAAAGGCUCACCAAGGCGACGAUCCGUAGCUGGUCUGAGAGGAUGAUCAGCCACACCGGAACUGAGACACGGUCCGGACUCCUACGGGAGGCAGCAGUGGGGAAUAUUGCGCAAUGGGCGAAAGCCUGACGCAGCCAUACCGCGUGUGUGAAGAAGGCC